CCUACGGGUGACUGCAGUGAGGAAUAUUGGUCAAUGGGCGCGAGCCUGAACCAGCCAAGUAGCGUGAAGGAUGACUGCCCUACGGGUUGUAAACUUCUUUUUUAAAGGAAUAAAGUGAGGCACGUGUGCCUUUUUGUACGUACUUUAUGCAUAAGGUACGGCGAACCCCGUGCCAGCAGCCGCGCUAAUACGGAGGAUCCGAGCGUUAUCCGGAUUUAUUGGGUUUAAGGGGAGCGUAGAUGGGUUGUUAAGUCAGUUGUGAAAGUUUGCGGCUCAACCGGAAAAUUGCAAUUGAUACUGGCAGUCUUGAGUACAGUUGAGGUAGGCGGAAUUCGUGGUGUAGCAGUGAAAUGCUUAGAUAUCACGAAGAACUCCGAUUGCGAAGGCAGCUUACUAGACUGCCACUGACAUUGAUGCUCGAAAGUGUGGGUAUCAAACAGGAUUAGAUACCCCAGUAGUC
rnacentral:rRNA from 1 species